CAGGACAUAGUGUAAUGGAUAGCACAGCUUCGGAACAACGGUCCCCUUGGUUCCUGGGACCGGAGGCAGACCGAGGUUCGAUUCCUCGUGUCCACA